GCACUGGGAAGGCAGCUACACCGCAGUGUCUUUUUGCCUUAUGUCGAAGAAGAGCGGCAUCAGAGGUAGGGACGGUGC
rnacentral:sRNA from 12 species